rnacentral:misc_RNA from 1 species
CCGAGUUUACAACUCCCAAACCCCAAUGUGAACGUUACCAAACUGUUGCCUCGGCGGGAUCACGCCCCGGGGGCGUCGCAGCCCCGGAUCCACGGCGCCCGCCGGAGGACCAAACCGAAACUCUUUUAUCUUACCAGUCCCCCUCGCGGGACGUCUUCUGAACAAACCUCGGGCGCCCCUAGCGGGCGUUUCGAAAAUGAAUCA